GCCGCCCCGCCGCGGCUCGGGCUCUGCCCGGGGCUGGCUGACCUGGCUGAGCGCCGGGCGUGUGCGCAGCGGGGCGGCCUGCUCGCUCUGCCCUCUCGCCCGGCUCCUGUAGCGUUACCGUCCUUUCCGAACCGUGACGCGGCGCUGGCGCUGUGGUUCGAGCCGCUGCUUCGGGACGCUUGUGGAGUCUGGUGUGAAGUUCCAUUUCCACUUUAUUUUUUUUAAUUUUCGGCAGCCUCUCGCGUGAGAUGUUGAGGCUGCAGCAUCCCGACCGUCCCGUCCAGGAUAGCAGGGGGUGCUGGGGUUGGACUGGUGACUUGCAGCCUGCUGAGCUGCCAGCCUCAUUUUUCCUUCUGUUUCUGAGCGCUUUCGUCCAUCGCGCUUCAUAAACGCAAAUCCGUGGUUCUCAGAUUAAUGUUUUACGACCUUCGCACAGCUUCUCAAAUUGUCGCUGAAAAUGGCGUGUUUUUACAGGAGUAGCUUGCACACACGUUCUCUAAUGUACCAGUAGGCACAAACCCGCUCGAGUGCUGUGCGUUUUCUUUCUCCAGUACCCGCUGACACCCCUCACAGGCUUUAAACCUGAAUCGUGUUACAGAGUCCCAGUUCUCUUGUCACUUACUUAUUGGUUUGUUAAAUGGAAUCACAUCGGCUACUGUGGAGCCAAGAAUUGUUUUAAAAUUUUAUCACAGAACUUCUCCUUUCUUAGGAGAAGGCAUUGUAAAACUAAUUUCACCUUAGUUUCUCAAGAAAAGAGGGAGUAAAAUGGCAGUGGAAGCAGCGUAGUCAUUAUUCAGAACAGGCCUUACUCCUUUAGGGCAUUAAAGUAUUUCUAAACACAGGCAUUAGUAAGCAUAGUACUUGAGCUUUUUCUUGUACGAUCAGCUGUGGAAAAGGUUAGCUUGGACAUGUUAAAACUUAAUUAAGACUGUUUGUCAGUCCAUUAAGAAGAGCUAGUAUGGCAAGAUAACUUUGUGAUGUCUCAUAGUACAAGCCCAAAAGGACAUUCAGCGAUACUUAUAAAGUGGGAGUUUUGAAAAACGGUAGGUGGGAAGGCUUUUCCAAGCCAUGUAAUUACAAUGAAACUAGCUGCCAGGAGAAAUCAUUCAGCGGGAUUCAAAGCACGCAGAUAUUUGUAUGAGCACAAAAACCAUCUACUGCACUCACAACAAAAGCCAAGAAAACAUCUUACAGAUGCUAAAGCACGUGACUCAGGAUUCAAAGUGAUGUGUAGGGAAUAAGAGCUGUGCUUUCCUGUAUCCACAGUGGUCUUGUGCCUGGUUCAGAGCGGGGCCGGGGGUGCUGUUGGACCAGAAGGGUUGUGAGCUUUGUCGCAUGCCGGGUGAGAAUACAUAAAGUCAUGCUGUUGACUGACACUGCCGUGAAGGCAGAAGUUCAAAGGUCUGCCUGCUGUGGCCUGUUCCCCACAUUGUAAAGCACAACAUGGGGAGAGCGUUGGCUGUGUGUGUGUGUGACAUGGAGGGGCGCUCAGUAACGCAGUCUGGGUGUGCGCACAGGAAGCAUCAGGAGCUUGGAACACGUGCUUGCUUCAGAAAAGGCUCCGUAUUGGCAGUGGUAGGUUCUUCCCGUGACAGUCGAUUUCAGGGACUGCCAGGCUGAGAUAUUCUAGGUGCAUGUUUUCUUCGCUUUGCAGAGAAACUGAAGGAAAAAAAAAAGAAACAUCGUUGCCAGCAGCGUUGCACAUUCUUGGAAUGUUAUACUCUGUUAAUGUUCAUUUGAAAGGCCGUUCUUCAUGACUUCCUUCCAACUCUUUUGUUGGUGCUCUCAAGCCUUGCUGACCUGUUGGCUUUGUGUUUACACGCUCACUCAGAAGGACUUGUUUAGACUGACUUCCUUGCUUGUUGUAGAGGUUCCCCGUGCGCGAGCCCAGCUCUUGGUAAGCUGGUUCAUACACCUGCCGUUAGCCCUGUAACAAAGCGCAACGCCUAACUUCCGUGACUGAGAAAUAGUUGUUUAGACAAAACAACUCUUGUUUGGGUUCAAAUAUUCUAAAGUAAUCUAUUCCUAGUAUUUGUUAUUUCUCUUGCUUAUCUGAAGGGAACACGCUUUGUUCAGUAGGUGAACAACCGUGGACUUGACUUAGUUGAGAAGCAGUUAGCAGGCCCUGCAUGCCGACACGUCUGUCAUCCAAUCUGUCUGUCCAGGAGCAGCUACAGACUUACUGUUCUGACUGCUUGCACUUAGCGAGGGAGCCAGAAUUCAUAUGGUGCUGUGUGCCUCUUCAGACACAAAGACAAGCGUGAAUUUAAACCGACUGAAAUGUGUGUUUGCUUUAGCACGGAGCAUCUUUGAGGAGUCUGCAGCCAUGGAACAAUCCGCCAGGGAUGAAAAUACACAUCAGCAAGCAGUUGGUCCAAUUGUAGGAAGUUAAACUGUGGAGUGUCCAUACCCACAAGCCCAUCGUUGCUACGUGGGAAGAGUUUGAUAGAGGUGGAGGGACUGGGAGGGUUCUCAUUUCUGUAUUGGCAUGAAGUUCUUGCACAAGUAUCAUAACCCCGUUUCUGUAUGUCUGAAAAUUCCAGUGUAAUCCAGUAAAUAGAUAGAUAUGCCCCCACUUUUUCUAUAAACCAGUGCUGUAUUAGAGAAACACGGUGUCCUUGGUGCUCGAGUCAGCCAGAAAGUUCUAGCUGUUGCAGAGCACUGCGCUGUUUCUGCACGGUGAUACAAGCUAUUGGAAGCCCUCAGUCUUUCUUUUUCUACUUGGGAAGGAGUGAACUUGAGGGUGGCGGUGAGUUCUCCGCAUACCACAAGUACACACACACGUAUUUGUUCAGGCAAAUCCGCCAGAGUCUGAAGUGAGCAGUAAGUGGUUAUGUGUGCAGAGGAGCUGAGGGAGUGCCAGCUUUCUGUAGCUGCUCCAGAAAGUGACAGAUAAAGAGCUGGCUCCUCUUCCUGUUUCAGUAUUGGCUUAGCCCCGGGCAGCUCGUACAGCAAAGUGCAUGUGAGAAGUUUACUAGAGCCUUUUGUAGCAGGGGGUUCAGAAUUUGAUUGCUUGUGCAGAGUCUAUUGCAGAUAUAAUUAAACUGAAGCAGAAGUGCAUGACAACCUGUACGCAGCCUAGCCAACCCUCUGUGUUUUCCAGGCAAAUCAUGCUGUGAAUCACUGAAAACGUGUACUCUUCUAUUGCAAAGUGCUUGCUUACAAGAGUUCUUUUGUUCUGUAGGCUUUGUAUUUUUCACUGUUUAUAAUUUUGUCUAUACGAAAAUGGAAACUCAUAACCUUGAAUAAAAUAUGUAACUCAUUAGUUAUUUAGUGUCCAUUUUCAUCUUGUCACUUCAGUCUGAAAAUAAUUUAAGCAGAAUGCUCUUCGCAACCAUGACAAUUCUGAAAAACGUGGAUGUGUUUUGUCAGGUGAAACCCAUCCGUUUGGUUUUCCUGCCUUUAAAGGAAGUUAGGUUCAACAGCGAGUCUUCGCUUUUGUGAGAUCCGCGUAGCUUAGAGCAAGCUUUGGGAAAACCCACCCACUGCAAAUCUCUAAAUAUAAUUGGGUAGUUGGAACUAACUAGAAUAAAUUCGGAAUUUCUUUGACUGUUCUCUGUAGGUGCUUGGAUUUCUCGUUGUUGUUGAAAUCAUCCUUCAGUCUGGGCAGAAAGGUCUUGGCUGGCUCUUAAUUGUUUUCCAUCGCUCAGUUACAGGAGUACCUGGGAUUCGUGUCAUCACUGCAGUGGUGAGGCUUUUCCCACUCUGCAGGAUAAGCACCAUUCUCAUUUCAUGCUUAAUAGAUUUGAAAACUGAAUUAAAUAAUCUUAAGAGGAAAACUUAGUCUUUUCCCCAACCCUUUUUUGGGGCGGGGGAGGAGAGGAGGAAAGGAAAUAGCCAUGGCAGAGAACAUGAGCUGGGUCCUGGUGGCUGUUGUUUUCCCAUGUUCCAACAAGCUGAAUUUCUACCAGCUUCAAAUCCCGUGUACGUCUCUGAGGUGUAAGAGUACUCCUAUUUUAAACCGAAGCACAGAUAUUUUUUCCUCUGAUUUUUAACAAAAUUGAUCUGAGCUGUCUGUAAUGGAGUAACAGUUGCACCAGCUCUGAAAGUUCCUCUCCCAUUUGUAUGCUAAUGUCUCUUCAAGUCAGAUUUCUCUUCGGGGCUGGGCAUAAAACAAAGUACUGCAAUCACUCGCUGAGCAAAAUUGACUUAGGAAUAUGUAUUUUCUCAGUUUAACCUUGAGCAAAAUAUUUUUGGCAUCAGAACAUUCGUUUAUGUGGACUUGUGAGUGCUUUUAAAGUAUAGCCUUUUAUAAUUGGGCUUUUACAAGUUUGGUUAUUUAUGCAAAGCAGAUAGGCGUUUCAUUCUGUUGUAACUUUGCAUUUGAAAUCUUUAGGAAAUGGGACAACUGCAAGAAUUUUCUUGGUCCUUGGUAUAGUAUCAGCUCUGGGUGUUCGAGGAAUUCAGUGUCCUCCUGAACUUCCUCACGUGGUUGUUACAUGUUAAUUAGUUUAUCUCUGUAACAGGUUGUUACUCUUAAUUAAAAGAUCGGCAGAGAUCACUGUAUUUCAGUGGAUGCAGAUAGUUCACAAGCCUUACGUUGCUGUUACCCCCUUCCUCUAUGGGAUGCCACGAGCUGGGCUUUGCAUCUCAUCCCUGAGGAAGGGCAGCACCCCAGCACCCGCACUGAGAGCUGCCGCCGUGCCCCAGUGCCGAGCCUGCCGGUGUCUGUUCCACCUCUGCAGCUCCUGCAGUUCAGCUGCCUCUUGGAGACUGGUUCAACGUUAGUAUUGCAGGCGUUCCUGAACGCUCGCUCUGCCCCUAGAAGUUCUUGGUUGACAUCAGAACUCCUUCAGGCCGCGUGGAAGUGCAGGCGUUCCUUGCUCCCUGUCUGCUCUGUGACCUGGCAGCCGUAGUGGCAGUUACUGCCUUGGGCUUUUGAAAUGGAGAGAGAAAAGCAGAAAAGGCCUGAACUGUGUGGAGAGCUUCCAGGUAAGUGCAUGCAUUCAGAAUGUGCUUGUUUCUUGUAUGCUGUCUAAGAUUUUUAUAAAACCAAUUCCUAUACUUUUUGCCAGGGAAGAUUUCCAAGCUUUGUUUUUUUAGAAGCUGUUUUAAUUCUUAUCCCGCGCUUGGCUGAAGGUGCUUGGGUUGGAUGAGCACAAAACAGAAGGAGCAGUUCCCUGUGCUGCAGGGGCUGGAGCAUAGAUCAGGGAGCCUUUGUGUGCUCCAUACCCGGAGUGUCCUCUAAUGGGAAAUGUUAAUUGCGGGAGGAGAUGAUGAAGAAUGUGAAGCAGAGGCACUUUGUCCUCCAAACAUAGUGUCCUCUUCAACUGUACACCUGAAAUGUUUUUCACCUUUUAAAAUACAGGUUGUCUUUAAGAAAGCAUGAAAUAGUUGGCCACCAGUGUCUCACAAGUUCACACAGGUUGUUCAGAUGUAGCCUGGGGCAAAACACGGAUUUUUCUCAUUGUAUUUGAAUAAAGUUUUUCUUUUUCCCUUAGAUCUCAAAUCAGUAGGAAACCCAUUUUUUCAGUGAAUAAACGUAACUUGGUUUGGUGUGUGUUUGCAGGGCUGUGGUAGGGUAGAGCUGUUACUUUUCAUGAACCUAAGGAAGUGGAGGGAAAACAGGAAACUAAUCAAAAGCAUAGAAAAAACUAAAACAACUGAACUAAUUUUUGCUUUCUAGUGAAGUAGGAAAAAGAAAAAAGCUCUGCCCCUUUUAUGAGCUGGUUCUUGUUUUUCAGUGUGAAGAAUUGCAUUUAAAAUGAAGUGUAAAUUUAUUUUCUGCUAACGUGACUGCUGGCAGGGCAGUGUGCCUGGCUAGCUGAAGCGGCUGCUGAUGAAUAAAUUCCAGCAGAAUUCUGUUUCAAACACAGGCCCCUUCCCAGCAGUUCGGCUCUGAUGGCGUCCAGGUGCUUGUCUUCACCACACUUCCUUACCUAACCAGCACCUUAACGGUGACAGGGCCGAGCACUUAGCACUGCAGAACUGCAAGGUGAAGUGAAGCACUUUGGAAGAAUGUAUGAAAGAGGGAUGUAAGUUUAUGAGAAGAUAGGACGAGGUUUGUUGGUGCUGUUUGCUGCUUUUCAGGAGACGACUCCUUACACGCACUGCCACGUGGACGAGAAGCUGCUCGUAGGUAAGCCUGAAACAAGAACUCGAGGAGCUGCACGCUGCUUUAGCUGUUAGAAACACUGCUUAAACAAAGAGCUGGGCUGGGCCAUCAUUUAAAGGUGCUUUGAUUUUUCUUGUAAACCAGUUCCACCAAACGCGAGAGCCAGUGUUCUUUUGAAGUUCAGCUGAUGGUUUGAGGGAAGCAGAUGUUGGAGUAGCGCUCUCUGAAAUAUGUCAGCGUUUUGUGUGCUGCUGUUGCCAUGGGAACUGGUAUCGGCUCAGAAAAAUGGCCUCGGGAUUGCAAAAUUAGAUUUAAAAAAAAUAAGAUGGGUUAGUCAUUCAUAUUUCUGCUCAUAAGCUGAUCCUGGUGCUGCUAAACAGAAUGCGCUGUGAAUACCUUAGGUGUAGACAUGCACGUGGCAGGUCAGUGAUUUUUAUUGUUUCUAAGCGAGCCUUUGACUGAAGGAACUUUAUUAGAAAAACAUGCAUUCAUUGCAUAUUUUUUUUCUAGCUUGUUCUCUUCCACAUGCCUGAAAGCAAUCACAUUUUCAUCACUUCUUUAGGCCUCUAUUACCUUGACAAAAGGUGAAAUAAUAGGUACUGGAUGAGAACUACAGAUUUAAGCUAGUUGGCAAACUUUACUUCUUUUAUAAUAUAAAAUGGCUCAGGAAACACAAACCUGAUCAUUUGUGAAUUCGGAAUCUUUAGCAGCAUGUAAAAAUGAAGCAGGUGCCGUUUCUUUGGGCUAUUUGCCUCUGGGGACAUUUGCUUUCAGAACAGCUGACUUGCAGGCAAGGCAGCUAUCCCAGUGCAGCAAGGCAGCUAUCCCAGUGCAGCAAGGCAGCUAUCCCAGUGCAGCAAGGCAGCUAUCCCAGUGCAGCACCGAGCACAGCAUCAGAGCAGGACUGGCUGCUGCCAGGGCAGUGUGCACUGUACGCAUCUCGGAUGGAGCUGAGGGCAGAGCGCUCCGGGAAUUCUUGAAAAAUGAAGGCGCCUCUAAUUGGAGUCUUGCAUCCUCAGCUUUAGUUAUUCAGACAUUUGAAUCUGUUUUCUAGCUCAAGCCAUGCCUAGAUGUCUGUCUUCGAUAUGAACUGGAUGUCCCAAGUGCUCUAGAGCAGUGCUCCCCAGCUGGUUAAAGGAAAGGCGCGGAGCAGGUUACUGACCUCAGUGUGCAUGUGGGUGGUUACCAAGGGCAGUAUGGGUACGCUGACCCACGUACACCUUCACAGCACCUGUCUGACCAGCAGCCUCACAGGCUUCAAGGAUGGAAACGCAGCGCAGAGGCAGCGUGCAGCCAGCUGGCCAAAGGAGUUUUCCUACAACACCCGAGGUUCUACAGGGAGGGAUUCAAGGACGAUUUUACAGUAGUUUUGCAGCACUUCAAGUUCUUCAGUUGAGAUCUCAUCUACAUUUCCUGUUUAAUUCAAGCCUUAAAGAACACCAUCACCGAAGCGCGGCUUGCUGUAAUCAACGAGGUCAUUCUGUAGAUCUCUUUCUUCAUCAUCUGCAAUUGAAAUAUUUAGACCAGUUCUCAUGUGAUGCUACUGAAAGAAAUAUAUAUUUAAGCAAGCUUUCCCACGAACACAGGGCUAACGCAUCCAUGUGCACUGACAGGGCCUUGGCUGGCUACGCAAAUGACGUCCUCAGGGAAAAGAAGGUGCCACAAGGGCCUGCCAUGACAGCUCCAGCUGUCAGCUCCUGGGGAUUUGUCCCCUCUGACACACUGCAACUUCACACUGUUGAGCAUCUCUGGCUUUAUUACAGCUGCAUUUCAGAUAUUUAUUGACUUGAGAGAUGGCAGAACUACUGUAAUUUGAGAAUGCUCCUUUAUAGGUUUGAAACCCUCCCACUAAAACCCAACUACAAAUUCUCUGUAACUUUGGAAGGUUACAUAGCACGAGUUACAAGAUGGCAGAGUUGAAACACUGCAUGGUUUUACCAAAGGUUGGGACCCAGGCAGGACUGAUGCAGAGAAGCCCUCAUGACCCUCCCCCAGCUCUCUGAAUAAAUCGCACAACAGAAAGGUAACGCUCUUCCAAUUUACAUCUUAGAUUUGGAAAAGGAUACUCUGAAUUGGCUUUGCUAGCAGUAUUGUUACAGACUGCUAUCCUGCAUCUUAGACUCACGUGUAAAAUUCGAAGGACUCUUUAAGAGAAAAAGCAGCGCUCAGCCUUUCCACACCUCUUAUCAAAGGAAAUUUGUAUCCUCUCUCAGCCUUGCUAGGAAUCAGCAAUACAUUCUUCACCUGGACUCCUCACAGCUGAAACACAUCCGUCUAGUCAGGCUCCCAAGUGACAAAUAAAUAGCCCACCCAGCAGAACAUCUACUCUCAAACAUGCAGUUAUUCUGCAGCUCAGCCAGGAAACACAGCGCAGCCGAGCGGGGCAGUGCGUGCUGAGCAGCCUGCAGCUGUGCACAGGGCCCACGCCGGGAGCACCACAGCUUUGCUGCUGCAGGCCGUUCACCUCCGCAGCGCGGCUGCUGCUUCGUCCCUGGCUGGAGAGCGAGUGAAAGCGUUCCAUCCUUCGGACCCCAAGCGACUGCCUCUCUCCCACUUCUUCACUUCUAUUCUUGGGACUUUGAGCCUCGUGAAAAAUCAUAAAAACAAACCCUCAAAACUUACUCAACCUCAGUGUAAACAUUUACCGUAGCGCACAAAGAAUAAAAUCAAGGAAAAUAUAUUUUAAAACAUC